rnacentral:rRNA from 1 species
AGCGAACGCUGGCGGCAAGCUUAACACAUGCAAGUCGAACGAGAUCUUCGGAUCUAGUGGCGGACGGGUGCGUAACACGUGGGAAUCUGCCUUUAGGUAAGGAAUAACUCAGGGAAACUUGAGCUAACACCUUAUAAUGUCUUCGGACCAAAAAUUUAUUUCCUAAAGAUGAGCCCGCGGUAGAUUAGAUAGUUGGUGGGGUAAUGGCCUACCAAGGCGACGAUCGAUAGCUGGUCUUAGAGGAUGAUCAGCCACACUGGGACUGAGACACGGCCCAGACUCCUACGGGAGGCAGCAGUGGGGAAUAUUGGGCAAUGGGCGAAAGCCUGACCCAGCUAUGCCGCGUGAAUGAUGAAGGCCUUAGGGUUGUAAAGUUCUUUUAGAUGGGAAGAUAAUGACGGUACCAUCAGAAAAAGCUCCGGCUAACUUCGUGCCAGCAGCCGCUGUAA